rnacentral:rRNA from 1 species
ACGGCGAGUGAAGCGGCAACAGCUCAAAUUUGAAAUCUGGCCCCGGUGGUCCGAGUUGUAAUUUGUAGAAGGUGCCUCGGGUGCGGCAGCGGUCCAAGUCCCUUGGAACGGGGCGUCGGAGAGGGUGAGAAUCCCGUACGCGACCGAUGGCCAACCCCGUGUGAGGCCCUUUCGACGAGUCGAGUUGUUUGGGAAUGCAGCUCAAAAUGGGUGGUAAAUUUCAUCUAAAGCUAAAUACCGGCCAGAGACCGAUAGCGCACAAGUAGAGUGAUCGAAAGAUGAAAAGCACUUUGGAAAGAGAGUUAAAAAGUAUGUGAAAUUGUUGAUAGGGAAGCGCUUGCAACCAGACUCGCCCGCGGGAGAUCAACCGUCCCUCGGGGCGGUGCACUCCCCCGCGGUCGGGCCAGCAUCGGUUCCGGCGACCGGACAAAUUCCCGGGGAACGUGGCUCCCUCCGGGGAGUGUUAUAGCCCCGGGCGCAAUGCGGCCAGCCGGGACCGAGGACCGCGCUUCGUGCUAGGAUGCUGGCGUAAUGGUUGUCAGCGACCCGUCUUGAAACACGGACCAAGGAGUCGACCAACCAUGCGAGUGUUUGGGCGUCAAACCCAUGCGCGUAAUGAAAGUGAACGGAGGUGGGAGCCCCUGCGGCGCACCAUCGACCGAUCCUGAUGUCUUCGGAUGGAUUUGAGUACGAGCACGGCUGGUCGGACCCGAAAGGUAUGAAUUUCUUUUUGCUUUUGUUUUAUCGUACGCGGACUCAGCUAACGUAUUCCGUAGAUGGUGAACUAUGCCUGAAUAGGGUGAAGCCAGAGGAAACUCUGGUGGAGGCUCGCAGCGGUUCUGACGUGCAAAUCGAUCGUCAAAUUUGGGUAUAGGGGCGAAAGACUAAUCGAACCAUCUAGUAGCUGGUUCCAGCCGAAGUUUCCCUCAGGAUAGCAGUGACGUUUUCAGUUUUAUGAGGUAAAGCGAAUGAUUAGGAGUUUCGGGGAAGCAAUUUUCUCGCCUCAUUCUCAAACUUUAAAUAUGUAAGAUGCCCUUGUUGCUUAGUUGAACGUGGGCUUUUGAAUGUACCGUCACUAGUGGGCCAUUUUUGGUAAGCAGAACUGGCGAUGCGGGAUGAACCGAACGCGAGGUUAAGGUGCCGGAAUACACGCUCAUCAGACACCACAAAAUGUGUUAAUUCAUCUAGACAGCCGGACGGUGGCCAUGGAAGUCGGAACCCGCUAAGGAGUGUGUAACAACUCACCGGCCGAAUGAAUUAGCCAUGAAAAUGGAUGGCGCUCAAGCGUGCUACCUAUACCUCGCCGCCAGGGUAGAAACGAUGCCCUGGCGAGUAGGCUGGCGUGGGGGU